rnacentral:rRNA from 1 species
UACGGGGGGGGGUAAGCGUUGUUCGGAAUUACUGGGCGUAAAGGGCGCGUAGGCGGUCAGCACAAGUCAGUUGUGAAAUCUCCGGGCUUAACUCGGAAAGGUCAACUGAUACUGUGCGACUAGAGUGCAGAAGGGGCAACUGGAAUUCUCGGUGUAGCGGUGAAAUGCGCAGAUAUCAGGAGGAACACCGGUGGCGAAGGCGGGGUCUCUGGGCCGUAACUGACGCUGAGGAGCGAAAGCGUGGGGGAGCGAACAGGA